rnacentral:lncRNA from 1 species
UAGGGGUACUUGAUCUCAAGAUCGCGAGCUCUCCCAAGCUCGUACCCCGCGUGACAGUAGGUUUAUUAUGUGAUCUAGUUGUUUAUAACAACCUAAAAAUAUACAGGAGUCGCCAUUAGCCUCAUUUUUGGGGGUCGGCUAGAAACCCAAUCGAGGGUCGGGAGUGUUCCCUCGAUUCCUACGCAACCAGAAAUCUAGGUUCGGGGACUUGGGUUACGCUAAUAUUGCUAUUAGCGCCCUUUCGGUACCUAAACAGUAUGUUGUGUUUUUCCUAACAUGUUCAUGCAUUUCUUUUUAUAUUUUCAGAAUCGUUAAUUCUAUAAUAAAUGAUCAUGCGUGGUGGAUUACUUUCAUUCUAUUCUAUUCCUAAGAAAUGAAAAGAAAACAAACAAUGAAUAUGAAAUUGCAAGACAUGAAGUAAACAAUCAAGAAAAGUAGUUAAACCUAAUCAUGCAAUUCUAAAAAAGAUAAAAGAGAAAACACAAUUAAGAAAAAUGAGGAAAAAAGGAAAACCCGCAACUCGUCGGGUUUUAUACAACACAAGGAACCCGAGACAUAUGUCGGGAGAGAAACGAAUAUUACAGAAUAACGGUCGGAGUGGACAUCGACCUCCACCAUCUUCACUUCUUCUCCACUUUUAGGAUCCUAUUCUAAACCUAAUCUAGGAAAUCUGGAUGAUUAGAUGCAUACAAAUGAAAGAAACAAUCAUCACGUAUCAAAACAAUCAAAAGCAAGACAUUUUUUAUGUUCACAAAUUGUGACUAAAGUCACGAAAUCCCUAAGUCAAGUUCUAUGCGGCAUCCCAAAGGCACUUACAUUAUCCUACAUCGCACCUAAGUCAUUUAUCUGACAAUCACAUGCGAAGCAUAAUUGACAUGCAUUUAGACCAUAUGGUCUUGAUUCUUAAUCAAUCCAAACCAAUGAGUAAACCAACUAAGGAUCACUUAUUCAAACACAUGCACCAUUGAAUUCGCUCAACACAUGUAUUCAAGGGGAACGAAGCAGGCAAUAUGUAACCCACAGGAUAUCUAAAACCGCUUUGUAGACAAUUGACAAAGGACGUUAUUUCAUGAAGAAAGCAUUUCAAGAUUCCUAAAGCAUGAAUUUCUAAAAAUACUAGAAUGUGAACUAGUCAGUCUAUAAUAGAACAAGGCAACAUGUAACAUAGGUGUUUUACAACAUAGUGAAUGCAAUUGGA